rnacentral:tRNA from 1 species
ACCAUGGUGGUUCGGUGGUAGAAUUCUCACCUUUCACACGAAAGACCUGGGUUCAAUUCCCAGCCAGUGCA